rnacentral:rRNA from 1 species
UACGGAAGGCAGCAAUGGGGAAUAUUGCACAAUGGGCGCAAGCCUGAUGCAGCCAUGCCGCGUGUAUGAAGAAGGCCUUCGGGUUGUAAAGUACUUUCAGUCGUGAGGAAGGUGUUAAGGUUAAUAACCUUAGCAAUUGACGUUAGCGACAGAAGAAGCACCGGCUAACUCCGUGCCAGCAGCCGCGGUAAUACGGAGGGUGCGAGCGUUAAUCGGAAUUACUGGGCUAAAGGGCACGCAGGCGGUUAAUUAAGUUGGAUGUGAAAUCCCCGGGCUUAACCUGGGAAUGGCAUUCAAGACUGGUUAGCUAGAGUCUUGUAGAGGGGGUUAGAAUUCCAUGUGUAGCGGUGAAAUGCGUAGAGAUGUGGAGGAAUACCGGUGGCGAAGGCGGCCCCUGGGACAAAGGACUGACGCUCAUGUGCGAAAGCGUGGGGAGCAAAC